rnacentral:rRNA from 1 species
AUUGAACGCUGGCGGCAGGCCUAACACAUGCAAGUCGAACGAGUGGCGGACGGGUGAGUAAUGUCUGGGAAACUGCCCGAUGGAGGGGGAUAACUACUGGAAACGGUAGCUAAUACCGCAUACCAUCGGAUGUGCCCAUAUGGGAUUAGCUAGUAGGUGGGGUAACGGCUCACCUAGGCGACGAUCCCUAGCUGGUCUGAGAGGAUGACCAGCCACACUGGAACUGAGACACGGCCCAGACUCCUACGGGAGGCAGCAGUGGGGAAUAUUGCACAAUGGGCGCAAGCCUGAUGCAGCCAUGCCGCGUGUAUGAAGAAGGCCUUAGGGUUGUAAAGUACUUUCAGUGAGGAGGCGUUACCGGCAGAAGAAGCACCGGCUAACUCCGUGCCAGCAGCCGCGGUAAUAC